UUCCGGUUGAUCCUGCCGGAGGCUACCGCUAUUGGAGUUCGAUUAAGCCAUGCGAGUCGCGAGUCUUCAAGGACUCGGCGUACCGCUCAGUAACACGUGGGUAACCUGCCCUAUGCUGGGGGAUAACCUCGGGAAACUGAGAAUAAUACCCCAUAGUUCACCACGCCUGGAACGGUGGGUGGAUGAAAGCUCCGGCGGCAUAGGAUGGGCCUGCGGCGUAUCAGGUUGUAGGGGGUGUAAUGUACCCUCUAGCCAUCUACGCGUACGGGUGUUGGGAGACAUCGCCCGGAGAUGGAUUCUGAGACACGAAUCCAGACCCUACGGGGUGCAGCAGGCGCGAAAACUUGGCAAUGCGAGCAAUCGUGACCAGGGAACUCCAAGUGCAUCGGGUAAGACCGAUGCUUUUCUUGACUCUUCAAAGGUCUUGGAAUAAGGGGUGGGUAAGGACGGUGCCAGCCGCCGCGGUAAUACCGGCGCCCCAAGUGGUAGUCGCUUUUAUUGGGCCUAAAACGUCCGUAGCCGGUCUGGUACAUUCGUGGGUAAAUCAACCAGCUCAACUGGUUGAAUUCUGCGAGCACGGCCAGACUUGGGACCGGGAGAGGUGUGGGGUACUCUCAGGGUAGGGGUAAAAUCCUGUCAUCCUGAGAGGACCACCUGUUGCGAAGGCGCCACACUAGAACGGAUCCGACGGUCAGGGACGAAGCCUAGGGGCACGAACCGGAUUAGAUACCCGGGUAGUCCUAGGUGUAAACGCUGUGGACUUGAUGUUGGGGGCGCUCCGAGCGCACUCAGUGUCGAAGCGAAGGUGAUAAGUCCACUGCCUGGGGAGUACGGUCGCAAGGCUGAAACUUAAAGGAAUUGGCGGGGGAGCACCGCAACCUGAGGAUUGUGCGGUUUAAUUGGAUUCAACGCCGG
rnacentral:rRNA from 1 species